CUUUCUGGCCAUAAACGAAAUUGAAAUUGUGGAGUCUCACUUGGCCAGCUCGCAACUGGAGUUUGUUUGUGCUGGACCCACAAAAUAGAUUUGCCGCAAUUGCGCCAGACAACCCCACAGACAGCAGAGCCAAACCGAAUAGAGCCGAGUGGUGGAGUGCAGUGGAGUGUCUGGUGGAGUCCAGUCCUCAAGCGUGUAUAAAUCCCUCAUAUGUUCGGGCAUAAUUUGGUGAAACGAAACUCAAACAAACAACUGGAGGAGAGAGAGAGCAGGAAGGCAUCCAGAGACCAGUGGCCAAAUCUGUAGCUCUGGUGUGGGUGCAUGUGUGCCAACUGUCUGAUUUUGACAGCCCGCAUAAAGCGACCAAAGGACGCAGACGACAACGUUUCCCGUGAUGACACGAUGACUAGUCUCUUCCCAAUUUGGCGACAAAAACUGCCACAAAUAUUAAUUUUUAUUAUUCAAACAUUGCUUUAAUUACAUUAUUUUUGCGUAUGGCCCACGAACAAACCUUCCGCACUGCACCGCUCCGCACGGCACCCACUUGACGUGUGUGGCAAGCUCUUCGGUUGCAUUCAGUCCUUUCCCCAUCACUCUGAUCAAUCACUGGAAAAUUGGAUUUUCAUAUGUGCGCGCCAUGGUUGCCGUUCUGGUUAAGGGGCGUUCGGCGGCGGUGCCUGUACCUUGUGGUGAUGAAAAUCAGUCGGUGCCACUCGCUCCAUGUUUGACAAGCACAAACAGAAACUUAAUCAGAAUCCAUGGAUUGGUCAAUAAUUUUUAAACACAAAUCAAGUGUUAACUGGGGGCUUAAUUGUGGGUUGAGCGACAAGUACAAAAAAAGGGGAGGAAAAAAGAGUUGAAGUCAGGAAAAACAUGAAAAUGUAACUAUGAAUUUCAGGGCAUUUUUUUGUAACAAGGUAAAAAAUGUUUUUUAUGGUUGAAUGGUUAAAAGAUGUAUGAUUUAAAUUUUACGUUGAGUAUAGUACAUCGUGUAUGCAGCAUUUUUAAUA